rnacentral:rRNA from 1 species
CCAGCAGCUGCGGUAAUUCCAGCUCCAAUAGCGUAUAUUAAAGUUGUUGCAGUUAAAAAGCUCGUAGUUGGAUUUCUGGCAGGAGCGGCCGGUCUCACACUCUGUGUGAGAACUCGUGUUGUCUCUGGCCAUCCUUGGGGAGAUCCUGUUUGGCAUUAAGUUGUCGGGCAGGGGAUACCCAUCGUUUACUGUGAAAAAAUUAGAGUGUUUAAAGCAGGCUUAUGCCGUUGAAUAUAUUAGCAUGGAAUAAUAAGAUAGGACUUUGGUACUAUUUUGUUGGUUUGUGCACCAGAGUAAUGAUUAAUAGGGACAGUCGGGGGCAUUCGUAUUUCAUUGUCAGAGGUGAAAUUCUUGGAUUUAUGAAAGACGAACUACUGCGAAAGCAUUUGCCAAGGAUGUUUUCAUUAAUCAAGAACGAAAGU